rnacentral:piRNA from 2 species
CCAUGUUCUGAAAAGAGAGGG